AGAGUUUGAUCCUGGCUCAGAACGAACGCUGGCGGCAGGCUUAACACAUGCAAGUCGAACGCUCGUAGCAAUACGGGAGUGGCAGACGGGUGAGUAACGCGUGGGAACAUACCCUCCGGUUCGGAAUAGCUCAGGGAAACUUGGAUUAAUACCGGAUACGGCUGAGAGGCGAAAGAUUUAUCGCCGGAGGAUUGGCCCGCGUUCGAUUAGCUAGUUGGUGAGGUAAUGGCUCACCAAGGCGAUGAUCGAUAGCUGGUCUGAGAGGAUGAUCAGCCACAUUGGGACUGAGACACGGCCCAAACUCCUACGGGAGGCAGCAGUGGGGAAUAUUGGACAAUGGGCGCAAGCCUGAUCCAGCCAUGCCGCGUGAGUGAUGACGGCCUUAGGGUUGUAAAGCUCUUUCGCUCGGGACGAUAAUGACGGUACCGAGAUAAGAAGCCCCGGCUAACUUCGUGCCAGCAGCCGCGGUAAUACGAAGGGGGCUAGCGUUGUUCGGAAUUACUGGGCGUAAAGCGCGUGUAGGCGGGUCUUUAAGUCAGGGGUGAAAUGCCAAGGCUCAACCUUGGAACUGCCUUUGAUACUGGAGACCUUGAGUCCGGGAGAGGUGAGUGGAAUUGCGAGUGUAGAGGUGAAAUUCGUAGAUAUUCGCAAGAACACCAGUGGCGAAGGCGGCUCACUGGCCCGGAACUGACGCUGAGACGCGAAAGCGUGGGGAGCAAACAGGAUUAGAUACCCUCGUAGUCC
rnacentral:rRNA from 1 species